UCCUGGCUUAGGAUGAACGCUAGCGACAGGCCUAACACAUGCAAGUCAGGGGCAGCACAAGGAGCAAUCUGAGGUGGCGACCGGCGCACGGGUGAGUAACACGUAUGCAACCUGCCUGUAAGCGGGGAAUAACCCGUUGAAAGACGGACUAAUACCGCAUAAUACUAAAUUACUGCAUGGUAAUUUAUUUAAACAUUUAUGGCUUACAGAUGGGCAUGCGCAUGAUUAGCUAGUUGGAGAGGUAACGGCUCCCCAAGGCAACGAUCAUUAGGGGUUCUGAGAGGAAGGUCCCCCCACACUGGUACUGAGACACGGACCAGACUCCUACGGGAGGCAGCAGUGAGGAAUAUUGGUCAAUGGACGAGAGUCUGAACCAGCCAAGUCGCGUGCAGGAAGAAUGUCCUAUGGAUUGUAAACUGCUUUUGCAGGGGAAUAAAGUGCAUCACGUGUGAUGUUUUGUAUGUACUCUGCGAAUAAGGAUCGGCUAACUCCGUGCCAGCCGCCGC
rnacentral:rRNA from 1 species